CACGAAAUCUAUAUUAUAAUAAUAAUAUCGAAAUGUCGUGUAUAGGUUUUAUUAUUAUUAAUAAAUUAUUAUUAAAUAAUUGUAUUUAAAUAUACAGCCACAGAAGGUGCCAGCCCUGUUAUUUAAUAAUAUUUAUUAAAUUUAUAAAACUUUAGAGUCGUGUUGCUUGGAAGUGCAGCACAAAGUUGGUGAUAAACAUCAUCUAAGGCUAAAUAUUCCUAUGAAUCCGAUAGCGAACAAGUACUGUGAAGGAAAAUUGCAAAGUACUCCGGAGAGAGAGUUAAAGAGGACGUGAAACCGAUACGAUGGAAGCAUACAGAGCCAGUUGCACUAUUAUUAAUAUUUUUUUAUUAAUAAUUUUAAGCAUGGGUAUAUUGAUUAUUAAUUAGUUAUUUAUUAAAGAGUGAUAAAAUUUUUUAAAUUUUGUUAACUUUAAUAAAAUAAUUAUAUUUAUAAUUAAUAUUAUAUAUUAUUAAUGUAUUAAUAAUAUUUUAAUUAUUAAUAUAAUAUAAGACACAUGUGUUAAAUAUUAUUUAUUAAUAAUUAUUAUAUUAUUAUAAAUUAAUAAACCUAUGUAA
rnacentral:rRNA from 1 species